rnacentral:misc_RNA from 1 species
CGCGUGAUCGAGUCGAGCAGAAUGACCACGUCGCGGCCGUGUUCGACCAGACGCUUGGCCUUCUCGAUCACCAUCUCGGCGACCUGAACGUGACGCACCGCCGGCUCGUCGAAGGUCGAGGACACAACUUCACCCUUCACCGAACGCUGCAUGUCGGUGACUUCUUCCGGACGUUCGUCGAUCAGAAGAACGAUCAGAUAGCAUUCCGGAUGAUUGGCGGUGAUCGAGUGUGCGAUGUUCU